rnacentral:rRNA from 1 species
UGCCAGCCGCCGCGGUAAUACGGGGGGAGCAAGCGUUGUCCGGAAUCAUUGGGCGUAAAGGGUGCGUAGGCGGGCUAUUAAGUCUGAUGUGAAAGCCCACGGCUUAACCGUGGAGAGUCAUUGGAUACUGAUAGUCUUGAAUCACAGAGGGGUCAGUGGAAUUCCAGGUGUAGCGGUGAAAUGCGUAGAUAUCUGGAGGAACAUCGGUGGCGAAGGCGACUGGAUGGCUGUUGAUUGAAGCUGAGGCAAGAACGCGUGGGUCGCAAACAGGAUUAGAUA